rnacentral:rRNA from 1 species
UACGUAGGUGGCAAGCGUUAUCCGGAUUUAUUGGGUGUAAAGGGAGCGCAGACGGCAGUGCAAGUCUGGAGUGAAAGCCCGGGGCCCAACCCCGGAACUGCUCUGGAAACUGUGCGGCUAGAGUACUGGAGGGGCAGGCGGAAUUCCUAGUGUAGCGGUGAAAUGCGUAGAUAUUAGGAGGAACACCAGUGGCGAAGGCGGCCUGCUGGACGGUAACUGACGUUGAGGCUCGAAAGCGUGGGGAGCAAACAGG